UACGUAGGGGGCAAGCGUUGUCCGGAUUUAUUGGGCGUAAAGAGCGUGUAGGCGGCCAGGUAGGUCUGCUGUGAAAACUCGAGGCUCAACCUCGAGCUGUCGGUGGAAACCAUCUGGCUAGAGUCCGGAAGAGGAGAGUGGAAUUCCCGGUGUAGUGGUGAAAUGCGUAGAUAUCGGGAGGAAUACCAGUGGCGCAAGCGGCGCCCCUGGCCGUGACCUGACACUGAGCCACGACGGCGUGGGGAGCAAACGGG
rnacentral:rRNA from 1 species